UGGGGAAUAUUGCGCAAUGGGGGGAACCCUGACGCAGCCAUGCCGCGUGAAUGAAGAAGGCCUUAGGGUUGUAAAGUUCUUUCGGUAUUGAGGAAGGUUGAUGUGUUAAUAGCACAUCAAAUUGACGUUAAAUACAGAAGAAGCACCGGCUAACUCCGUGCCAGCAGCCGCGGUAAUACGGAGGGUGCGAGCGUUAAUCGGAAUAACUGGGCGUAAAGGGCACGCAGGCGGUUAUUUAAGUGAGGUGUGAAAGCCCCGGGCUUAACCUGGGAAUUGCAUUUCAGACUGGGUAACUAGAGUACUUUAGGGAGGGGUAGAAUUCCACGUGUAGCGGUGAAAUGCGUAGAGAUGUGGAGGAAUACCGAAGGCGAGGGCAGCCCCUUGGGAAUGUACUGACGCUCAUGUGCGAAAGCGUGGGGAGCAAACAGGAUUAGAUACCCUGGUAGUCCACGCUGUAAACGCUGUCGAUUUGGGGGUUGGGGUUUAACUCUGGCGCCCGUAGCUAACGUGAUAAAUCGACCGCCUGGGGAGUACGGCCGCAAGGUUA
rnacentral:rRNA from 1 species